UGUCAAGCAAGGCGUUGAUCAGAAGCUGGU
rnacentral:piRNA from 2 species